rnacentral:lncRNA from 1 species
GGAGACUGCAGUUUGCAGUGAUGUGGCUAAGAUACCCUUGUGCUAUUAAAGGCACAUUUACGUAUCUUUCAACGCAGUUUGUACCUUUGUUUAGGGUUCUAUUGAACUUUCUCUGUGCUCUUUAGAAAACCGUCGAAUAAAGGGAGGUCAUGGACCAAGUACAAAGCGGCAAAAGGAUGGAAUUAAGGUACCUGACAUUGUUGAACCCUUGCCUGAUGCCACAUUAGCUCAGGACUACCUACAUGGACAUGUACGUGAAAUACUACCCUACUUCCCCCUUAUUUAAGCCUUUUUUAUGGCGGGC